rnacentral:rRNA from 1 species
UCGAACGAUGAAGCCCUUUCGGGGGUGGAUUAGUGGCGAACGGGUGAGUAACACGUGGGCAAUCUGCCCUGCACUUCGGGACAAGCCCUGGAAACGGGGUCUAAUACCGGAUACKACCGUCGGGCGCAUGCUCGGUGGUGGAAAGCUUCGGCGGUGCAGGAUGAGCCCGCGGCCUAUCAGCUUGUUGGUGGGGUGAUGGCCUACCAAGGCGACGACGGGUAGCCGGCCUGAGAGGGCGACCGGCCACACUGGGACUGAGACACGGCCCAGACUCCUACGGGAGGCAGCAGUGGGGAAUAUUGCACAAUGGGCGGAAGCCUGAUGCAGCGACGCCGCGUGAGGGAUGACGGCCUUCGGGUUGUAAACCUCUUUCAGCAGGGAAGAAGCUUUUGUGACGGUACCUGCAGAAGAAGCACCGGCUAACUACGUGCCAGCAGCCGCGGUAAUACGUAGGGUGCGAGCGUUGUCCGGAAUUAUUGGGCGUAAAGAGCUCGUAGGCGGCGUGUCACGUCGGAUGUGAAAGCCCGGGGCUUAACCCCGGGUCUGCAUUCGAUACGGGCAGGCUAGAGUUCGGUAGGGGAGAUCGGAAUUCCUGGUGUAGCGGUGAAAUGCGCAGAUAUCAGGAGGAACACCGGUGGCGAAGGCGGAUCUCUGGGCCGAUACUGACGCUGAGGAGCGAAAGCAUGGGGAGCGAACAGGAUUA